rnacentral:lncRNA from 1 species
AUUUUUCACUUUAGGAAGUGUGGUGGGGCAGGAGCAGGGGACUAUGGUUGACUAAAUCUACUGCACAACAGUGAGAGAACUACUAAAAAGCAUUCUGAGAAUUUUCCCCAGGUUCUUGGAAAGCUUGCAGAGUGUGAUUUCUAGUGGGUGGUGUUCAUAGUUAUGAAAGCAGUUAUGAAAGCUAUUAGACUGUUUGCUUCUGAUGAGCACAGACAUCUGUGGCUUCUGUGAAAAUCCCUCCCUGGUGCGACAGAUCCUUUCUGGAUCACCUCUCUCCUGUAAUCCACUGGUUUAUUGCUGUAACUUACACUGUACCCUCAGACCAGCUGAAGCUCUGGCCUUAGGGCAUCCAGGACCUGCAGCUUCUAUGUACUGAAAUUUAAGGUGAUUCUGCCUUGCUGCUUUGCUCCUCCUGUCUGUAAUUCUUCAAGAAAUGGAUGCCACAGCUCUGGGAUGGCAACUUUUAAUACGCAUGGAUGUGCCCAGACAGGCUCUUCAUGGAGCCUGCUUCGUGACUGCAAUCAGAAGAUCUGUGAUGCACAUUCAGCACGCCUCAAGUUCUUCAACUGAAGUUUUAUUUUACCAUUCUAACUUGUCUUUUCAAAAACCUCUCCCCUUUUACCUCCUUUUCUGCUGCUAAUAGUGGAUGGCAGCUGUCUCGAGACCUCGGCGCUCCAUGCUUCUCUUGUCAAUGAAAGCGUUUUCCUGUUGGCAUUGACAGGCAGAAAUAUUUUCAUGCCAUCCUUAUGAAGUUUCCUCUGAUGGACUGGAUGAGUGCAACUGUUAGCUCUCUUAAGUGAUUCCACUCUUAUUUUUAAUUUGUGACUUUACAGCUCAAGAAUAUAUUUUCACAUUUAUCCCAGCUGUCUCUCUAACACAGAGAAGGGUGUGUGCAUUCAUGUGUAAGGGACCGAGCAAAGGAAUGCACUGUGUGAAGUUAUCUGCUGUUAAUAAAACCAACUUAUCAUAGCA